rnacentral:rRNA from 1 species
AGCGAACGCUGGCGGCAGGCUUAACACAUGCAAGUCGAGCGGGCACUUCGGUGUCAGCGGCAGACGGGUGAGUAACACGUGGGAACGUACCCUUUGGUUCGGAAUAACGCUGGGAAACUAGCGCUAAUACCGGAUACGCCCUUUUGGGGAAAGGCUUGCUGUCGAAGGAUCGGCCCGCGUCUGAUUAGCUAGUUGGUGGGGUAAUGGCCUACCAAGGCGACGAUCAGUAGCUGGUCUGAGAGGAUGAUCAGCCACACUGGGACUGAGACACGGCCCAGACUCCUACGGGAGGCAGCAGUGGGGAAUAUUGGACAAUGGGCGCAAGCCUGAUCCAGCCAUGCCGCGUGAGUGAUGAAGGCCUUAGGGUUGUAAAGCUCUUUUGUCCGGGACGAUAAUGACGGUACCGGAAGAAUAAGCCCCGGCUAACUUCGUG